rnacentral:rRNA from 1 species
AUAAUAAAUAAUAAUUUUAGAUUUAUAAAUGUUUUUAGUUAAAUAAUUAUUAUAUUAUAAUAAUUUAGUAAAAAUUAAGAAAAAUAAUUUUUUUAUAAAACUGUAUAGAAAAACAAAUUAUAUAAAAAAAUUAUUAUUUGUUCCUUUUGUAUCAGAAUUAAUUAAAUAAAUAAUAUUAAAUAUAUUUUUCUCGAAAUAAAAUGAGUUAAUUAAAUAAAUAAUUUAAUGUAAAGUAAUUAUUUAUAAUAUUUAAUUAGAAAUGAUAUGUUAAUCGAAUUAUAUGAUAUCUAGUUUUAAAAUACAUAAAUUUAAUUUAGAAAUUUGUUUUUAUUAAUAAUUAUUUAAUAAUUACUAAUAAAAUAAAUUUUAAAUAUUAAAGGGAUAAACUUUUAAUAUAAUUUAUAAUAAAAUAAUUUUUAGAUUAAUAUAAUUAAAAAUUUUAAUUUAUAAAAAAUUUUUAAUAAUUUAUUUAAAAAUAUAUUUAAGAUUUAUAUUAUAUUUAAAUGUUUAAAUUUAAUAAUUAUUAAAAUUUUUAAAAAUAUAAAAUAAUGAUUAAAUUAGUAUAAAUUUAUUAAUAAAUAAAUAUUUUUGAUAGUUUUAUUAAAUGAAUUAGGCAAAUUAAUAUUCAAUUGUUUAUUAAAAACAUUUUUUUUGUUUAAAAUUUAAAAUAAAAUCUGCUCAAUGACUAAUUUGAAAUAUUAAAUAGCUGCAGUAUUUUGACUGUACAAAGGUAGCAUAAUAAAUAGUUUAUUAAAAGUAAACUGGAAUGAAUGAUUUAAUGAAAUAUUAUAUUUAUUUAUUAAAUAGAAUGUUUAAGUUAAUUAAAAAAAAUUAAUUAUAUUUAGAGGACGUUAAGACCCUUUAAAAUUUUAUAAAUUUAUUUUAUUUUUAUUAAAUAAUAAUAAUUUAAAUAGAGUAAAAUUUAUUAUGAUGGGGCAUUAGUAAAUUUUAGUAAUAAUAUAGACAUUUUAUUUGAAUUAUUUAUGAACCAAUAUAAAUGGAUUAAAAGAAUAAAUUACUUAAGGGAUAACAGCGUAAUAAAUUUAGAUAGUUCAUAUUGAUAAAUUUGAUUGCGACCUCGAUGUUGAAUUAAGAUUAAAUUGAAAUGAAGAUAUUUAAAAUUUAUGUCUGUUUGGCUUUUAAAAUCUUACAUGAUUUGAGUUAAGAUCGGUGUGAACCAGAUCGGUUUCUAUCCAUAAAUUAUAUAAAAUUAUUUUGUACGAAAGGACUUUUAAUUUUUAAUAUAUUAAAUUUUUUUGGUUAAUAUUAAUAUUUUAAAUAUAUA